GAGCACAAGGGAACUCCUGCUGAGAAGCCCAUUCAGAAUCUGACCUGGUCCACUGGGUUUGCUGGGGAGCCAAGGGAUGGAGACUCUCCUGAAAGUGCUUUCAGGUGCUCUACUGUGGCAAUUGGCUUGUGUGAGAAGCCAAGAAGUGCAGCAGAGUCCUCAGUCCUUGAUCAUCCAAGAGGGGGAAAAUGUUACUGUCUGGUGCAAUUCCUCAAAGACUUUAUAUUCCUUACACUGGUACUGGCAGAAGCCUGGUGAAGGGCCCAUCUUCUUGAUGUUGUUAAGAAGAGAAGGAAAAGAGAUUCAUGACAAAAUAGCAGCCACGUUGGAUAAAGAAAAGCAGCACAGCUCCCUCUGUAUCACGGGCUCCCAGCUCAGUCACUCAGGCACCUACUUCUGUGGAGGAGAAGCACAGUGACACCCAGGCCUCCAAAGGCUGUGCUGUAACCUGACACAGGGCCACAGAUGCUCUCCUAGCACAGGGCUCCCAUGGGGAACCUACCCGCAGGUUCAUCCUUAAAAAAGAGAGAGAUUUGAGGGAAAUUCAAUUGCUAUCAC